rnacentral:rRNA from 1 species
UACGUAGGGUGCAAGCGUUAAUCGGAAUUACUGGGCGUAAAGCGUGCGCAGGCGGUCGCGUAAGCCAGAUGUGAAAGCCCCGGGCUUAACCUGGGAAUUGCAUUUGGUACUGCGUGGCUGGAGUGCGGCAGAGGGAGGUGGAAUUCCUGGUGUAGCAGUGAAAUGCGUAGAGAUCAGGAGGAACACCGAUGGCGAAGGCAGCCUCCUGGGCCAGCACUGACGCUCAUGCACGAAAGCGUGGGGAGCAAAC